rnacentral:rRNA from 1 species
GCAAGCGUUGUUCGGAAUUACUGGGCGUAAAGGGCUCGUAGGCGGCCAACUAAGUCGGAUGUGAAAUCCCCAGGCUUAACCUGGGAACUGCAUCCGAUACUGGAUGGCUUGAAUCCGGGAGAGGGAUGCAGAAUUCCAGGUGUAGCGGUGAAAUGCGUAGAUAUCUGGAGGAAUACCGGUGGCGAAGGCGGCAUCCUGGACCGGCAUUGACGCUGAGUGAGCGAAAGCUAGGGGAGCAAACGGG